UAGCGACCCCAGGUCAGGCGGGACUACCCGCUGAGUUUAA
rnacentral:rRNA from 6 species